GUUUCUGAGCUAAGCAUUGUGUAUCAGUUAUUCUAUCCCUUCUUGUCUCCCUAUUUUGUAUGUUUAUUUUAGCGAACCAAAUCUUUGAGAAAUAGCAUACCGGGAAUUUGCUAACAAUUGAGCAGAAAUCAAGAAUGCAUUUUUCUGAAUCAUUCUCUUCUGUAUAUUUCUUGCAUCUGUUAGAUGCACAAUUGAUAUUUGACUAAUCUUCUGGUGACAUUUUAAUGCUUAGUUAUUGAAAACAAGAUUGUCAUGUGAUAAAAUCCCUCUGGUUGUUUCUGAUCAAGUGUUUGUUUUUAUGUUUUUCUUGAUAUUUGAUUAGUACUAAGCAAAGAUGUUUCAAGCUUUCAAUUUGGUGUGAAUGUUCUCGGGGUAUAGUAAUAUGUUUGAAGCAUAUUCAUUCUCAGAUUGAGGAAAUUAUUGAUGCUUCCCCCUGUAUUUUCCAGGGUUGAAGAAGGAGGCUUAGACACCUUUCUUCCAAGUGUCUGAACUCUGAAGAUGAUUUUUGGGUUUGGCACCUUUCUCUUGCUUUUCAACAGUGAGGCAAUUUGUAGGGGAAGAUUUUUUGAGGCACUAAUUUCUUUAGUUUGGCUUGCUGGAUUCUUCUAUUUCAGGUCUCAUGCGAGCCCUAGAUAUCUGUGUUCCUACCUGAAUCUUGUGGCUGCCAUGGGAUUGACCUAAUAUCUGGAAUUCUCCAAAAGGUUUUCUUUUGGACCUCAAUAUAAGCUUAUCCAUGUGUGACAUUUUGCUGGGCCAUGCGUGUUUCACUUUGCUUGUUGCAAAGUAAUCAUGCUGAGAUCUUUACUUUUCAUGUGUUCUGUAUUAUCAUUUCAUAAAUUGAUCUUUGUGCUUGUUAAUAAUUGAUGAAGCGAAAUUUUUUAAGAGGAUUGGUAAUAAUAAUCUUGCAAAGAGCAAGCAUAAGAUAAAAACUGGAAAGACAUGUUUUUUGUGAAUUUGGAGAAGUAUUGCAUAAACCAUCCUCACGUGGGAUAUCUUUGUUUAAGCCACUUGAAUGGCUGUAAAAUAAAACUGUUAUUGGCUAAGCUGUGAAGGUGCUCCUUGACAACUUGAUAAACCUUUUUAGUAAUGCUUAGAAGGUUAUCCUAGUUUCACACUUCAUUUUCUGUGUUUUACUAUGCUUCCUGUCCAAGUCUAUUAAUCCUUGUUUUUGAAUUUCUGGAGACAGUUUCAACGAUUCUAUUGUUUCACCUUUGAUCCAAUAAGAUCUAUCUUUGUCCGGCGUAAAAAUAAAUCUGUAUUUUUUAUUAAGAUGCUGCGUCCUAGCUUCACAUGAGACAGUAGCAGUUGUCCUAAUUGGCUGAGUAAUAAUAAAUGCUAACUAUUCAUUACUUAAAAUACAUAGACAACUGGAACUAGAUUUUUAGGUAAGCAACCGCUCCAGAUUCUUGAGUAAUUUGCUUCACAAUCCAACUAAGCAUGUUGUCUGUUCAUUUACAUGCACGGGGAAAAUUGGACUAAACAUAAUCACAUUUCCAGUACCAUUGGCUAUUGCUUCCUCAGGGAAAUGCAUCACUGCUGGAUUAUUCCGUUUACCCUGGAAGAUGUUUACAAUGUAUUUCUCAUCACAAGUCAUGUUUGCUUACAGUAAUGAUAUUGUCUUGCACUAAUGACACUAAUCAGAAUUGAUAUGAUCUGUGGUGUAUUUAGUAUCCAAAUUUCAUCUUGCUAG
rnacentral:lncRNA from 1 species